UGGGGAAUAUUGGACAAUGGGCGAAAGCCUGAUCCAGCAAUGCCGCGUGAGUGAUGAAGGCCUUAGGGUUGUAAAGCUCUUUCGGGUGGGACGAUGAUGACGGUACCACCAGAAGAAGCCCCGGCUAACUUCGUGCCAGCAGCCGCGGUAAUACGAAGGGGGCUAGCGUUGUUCGGAAUUACUGGGCGUAAAGCGCACGCAGGCGGUCUGUUAAAUUAGAAGUGAAAGCCUUGGGCUUAACCUGAGAAUUGCUUUUAAGACUGGCAGACUAGAAUCCAGAAGAGGGUAGUGGAAUUCCGAGUGUAGAGGUGAAAUUCGUAGAUAUUCGGAAGAACACCAGUGGCGAAGGCGACUACCUGGUCUGGCAUUGACGCUCAUGUGCGAAAGCGUGGGGAGCAAACAGGAUUAGAUACCCCCGUAGUCC
rnacentral:rRNA from 1 species